rnacentral:rRNA from 1 species
AUGGCUCCUGCCAGCUAUCCCGUGGAUGCUAUAACGGAGUCUCAAAAUUGCCACCUUAUGACGCAAUGGAUGAAUUUGAAGGUCAAGGCGGCUGUUGGCUCUGUUUAUCCUACUAAACCCGGCGCAACUUUUCACUGCCGGCCGAUUCCAAAAGGAUAUGCUAGGGUGAUGGUGGAUGAAAUAACGGAGGGAUUUGAGGACCUCCAGCUUGACCACCCUACCGGUGAAGGGGAGACUCGGCUGGGGUCUGCUCCGAAGACUCCAUGCCUAUGGCGGAAGGAGCUCAUCAACCUUCCGAACUGGACGCCUCCGCCUCCUCCUCCUCCUCCGGCAAGUCAGGGCACUCCGCCUCCUCCACCGCCUCCUCCUCCGGCGAGUGACGAUCAGGGCCCUCGGCUGGCUCCUUCUCCGGCGCGUGGUGGCACUCCGCCUCCUUCUCCGCCUGCGCCGACACGCCCGAGCAGCCAGCCUCCUCCUUCUCCGCCUCGUCAGCAAGGGUGGAAGAGACCUGCCGCCGCUCUAGCUGCUCCGGUGCGUCGUAGUCCUUCUCCUCCGCCUCGUAAGCAAGUAAAGAAGACAACCGCUCCGUCUGCUCGGUCGGCGUCUAGCAGUACAACCAGAGAAGUUACCAUAUGA